AGCCUUUGUACCCUAAAUCCAUCUUCUCCGAGAACGAUGAAGAUUCGAGCCCUAAAUUCAGGGAGCGAAGAGGGAUUCUCCACUUGUUCCGGAGCUCCUCUCACUCCUCGAUCCCAAGCCCUAGCUCUCGCUCUUCUCUUGUCUUCAUUCUCACCGUUGCCGAUCACAUCUCCUUCGAUGACCUCAUUCGCUGGUGUGGGCCCCACCUCCACCAUCUCCACCGCCUCCUCUUCAUCAGGGUAGGUAUAGGUGAAAUAAAGAAGAUGGCUUUUCCAGGAGCAAAUGAAUCCAUGUCAGGAGCCCUUUAUUUACAAAAAGGAGAAGAUAUUCAAUCUGAAAGGCAAAGCUUUGGGUAAUCCACUUGUAGAAUAUGCCACUGACUUCAAUUCAAGGGCUGAGUUUUUUUGGUCUCACGGAUUAAUAUCAGAUUCCCUUUUUACUUGAGUUUUUUUUACUUGAGUUUUUUUUGUUCCUUUUUACUUGAGUUUUUUCCCUUCCUAUGGCCAAACAGAAAGAAAAUGAGAGCAUCGAUGUGUGCGUAGAUGACAAAGUUACAAAUUAUUUGAACGGAAGAGAUGUGCAGCAGGUGCUCCAUGCCAAGCUCAUUGGAGUUCGCAAGUGGGAUGUCUGCAGCAAAAGGUUCUUGUGAUUAGUGCUCAGAAGGGCAACGGAAUGCAGUUCCAAAGGUAAUUUUCUCCACAACUUGUCCUAUUGUUAAAGCACAUGUUAUAAUUUUUUGGUUAAUUGUGCAACCUUUUUAUGUUCCGGAUAGAAGUGGAAUACUCACUACACUUUGCGAUCACUCCUUUCAAUGCCCUUGUGUUUCAAAGUGGACAUACUUGUCUUGCCCGAUUUUGGAUGAAUACAACCGUCUUCUAACAUCUCAGUUGGAAACUCAAAGACAAAACAUACUUCAUGAUUCGGAUGACGAAGAAUGCUUGAAGAUAUUAAAGAAUUGCUGGAAGGCUAUACACCGAAUGAUGGGGUGGACAAAGUUCUUCCUGCAGUGCCAGAGCAGACAGAUGUUGCUAAGAUGGCUUUCAGGUCUGAUGUUUUCAUGAUGUUUCAAACGCCAAAAGGGAAGGAACGAACCUACCAAGAUUUGUAAAUCCCACCUUAGUAAAUCUGUAUAAUUAUUGUCAAAUUUGGUAAGCUAAUUGAAGUAUUAGAUAGCAUUGUAUUUUUUGCUCAA